GCAGGGCACCCAGCACACAGACGAUUAGCCCGCUGCAGGCCAAGUAUAACACAGCCUUUGACUUAUGCUAUGGUGAGCGAUGAAAUGUAGUGAGAAAUGUAAUUUCAAAAAAUGGGAAAAGAAAAUGGAGGAUGACGGAAGGAAACCUUACAGGUCUUCACCUGUCAAGAUGAAGAUCCCUAAAAACACUGGACACUAGGUGGAUACAGACCCUGGGAGCCACUGGAUGUUGUUUCUACAAAGCACGGAACCAGGUUGAAUAUCGGGUCUCUGGAGCCUGACUUAAAUAUACUGCUUCCUCUGGUUACAGCUCAGAUCGUCACUUAGCAACACAUGACCGUUUUCAUUGGACAGCAGCCUUGCAUCUCAUUGGGUACAUUCCCUUAGCUCCCACUUGGGUGAGCCAAUGGUCACAAUGACAAAGGUUUCACAUGAUCACUAACCAGUCUUUUGUUGUCUUUUAAUUUAUAUGGUCUUGGAUCUUUCCCCCCUCUGUACCAAAGUUUUGGGUUUGACAGCACAAAGAAAAGCUUAAGAACAGAUUUUCAUUACCUGUAGGGAUGUAGCGUCCUAGAGAGUUAGCUGGUAUGCCAGCUAAUUUGUUUAAACCUAUUCAACCCUGAAAUUUGCUCAUAAAAAGCUCCUUUUGUGAGCACUGAACUUACACAGGUUAUUUUUGAGAAGUAUGAUUCCACCCCCUUUUUUGGGAGGUGUCAGGGAAUCAUUUUUGGAUUUUCCUUCCACCCAUCCACGUACACAGGACAAAAGGUAGCACUCAGAAUAUUCCAUUUUUCUGGCACGACUAAAAGCCUGUUGUGCAGUAUUAUAAGUCACUAUAUAAGCCAAACUUAUUACUUAUACAACUAAAUAUAUAACCUGACCAUACAAAUCAUUAGUUCCUGAGCAACAAAGGAGACAUUAGAAUUUUGAUUUACAUGUAAAUAUAAUAUAGUGUAGUGUAGUAUAGUAUACUAUAGUAUAGUACAGUACAGUAUAGUAUAGCCCACAAAUGAGAAAAAGAUUUGAAAAAUCAAACCAAUAAACUUGCAAAUGUACCCUCAUUUGCUGAUAAAAAUCAUUUUAGACAGGAACGUCAUAAGCAGACUCCUACAGACAAUAUAGUUAAAAUAAACCGCUUUUCAGAGCAGUUAUGCAUCGCCAGGAUUCUCAAGCAAUUUUGAAACAACCCUUACACGGCGUUGCCAAAAUCAUCCACAAAGGGGCGCCCCAUCACCACACAUAGAUCAACAUUAGCGUCCAGUGUGACACGUGCCUAAGUCUCAUAACCCCGGAUUUUUUACAUUCUAAGAAUGCCUUUUACAUCGUUGCGAUUUUGACCCUAUAAACACCUGGCUAUACCAAUAUACUUACACUAUAUUUUAAUAGCUAUUAUAUAGUGUUUAUUUUAUAUCUUUUACAGUGAUUUUCGGUCAAAUCAAUGUUAAGAAAAUAUCACAACACCCUGGGGUGUCUGACAAAGCCAACAGCUUUCGUCUAGAAAACUGCACUGCAGUGUGCCUGGAAAGGGAAAAUCAGUUUUCCCUCGUUUCGUAUUUCAAGAUACUUCAUCCAAUUACCAUAAUGAGUCUGGCACCUCUAAAAUCAAACACUGCGUACUGCUGAGAGUUUUUCUCGUCAGACAGGGGAGGGGAGAAGCCCACAGCUGUAUGGUACCUGCUUAAAAUCACCCUCCAGUUCGGUGCGCUUCAGCUCCCAGAAACUCCGCAUCGUCUCCACCCUCUCCGGCGGCCGGAAGAAGUCUAGUUUCCCGGCGCAAAGGCGAUCGGACCGGCUUCGUAUGGCGCUGAACCCCGACACCUUGAUGGAUGACAUGCUGGAUAGAGCAGCCCAUUCUGGUGAUAGGACACGCCGGGGAUCUCUUGAAAAAUCCGGCUGGCUCGAAGUUACUGCUGGUGUUUUGUCUACACUGAAAUAAACAAAAACCAAACGCCUGUUAGAGGUUUUGUAGCUGCUCGAGUGUGAGCAACAUUUGUGAUCACAAUCGAUCUGUACUACAAAGUAUUAAAAUAAAAAAUCAAACGAAAUCUUGACAUAUAAUGGUAGAUUUUUGAUUUUCAAGGAUGUCAUACGUGACCUAUGUAAUUAUGCUUCAGCUGAAUGGGAUCAGUAACAUUUGGAUACAUGAUAUGCACUUUGGCGUUCUUUGGUGUAAUAUUUUAGCGUCAUUGAAUAAAGCAUAUCACUUUAAUUUAUACUACUCAGCAUUUUAUGUAAAUACACGAUUCGUGCUUUCUGUUAAUAAUCCUACAAGUUUCAUGGGGAAAACUCGAUUUGUGAAAGGGUAAAGAAUCUAUUUCAGAUUUGCCAUUACUGGCAUCUCUAUCAUGGUUUCAAACGGUCUGUUACUAAGGUUGCCACCUGUCCCGGGUUCCCCGGGAUUGUUUUUUGAGCAGCUGUACCGGAAAAUUAAUAUUCUUUCACGGGACAUGAAUUGUUCCGAUUUUAUGCGAAAAUGUACAUCUAAUUUAGAGCUUCGUAGCUUCAAAUAAAGACUCACUUGGUUUCCUUCUA